rnacentral:rRNA from 1 species
AACGAACGUUAGCGGCGCGCCUAACACAUGCAAGUCGCACGAGAAAGGGCUUCGGCCCCGGUAAAGUGGCGCACGGGUGGGUAACACGUGGGUAACCUGCCCUCGAGCGGGGGAUAACAUUCCGAAAGGAGUGCUAAUACCGCAUAAGACCACGCUCUCGCGAGAGAGAGCGGUCAGACCUGGCCACUAUACAUAAGCUGGCACCGGAGGAUGGGCCGGCGGGGCAUCAGCUAGUUGGUGGGGUAAUGGCCCACCAAGGCUAAGACGCCUAGCUGGUCUGAGAGGAUGAUCAGCCACACUGGAACUGAGACACGGUCCAGACUCCUACGGGAGGCAGCAGUGGGGAAUCUUGCGCAAUGGGCGAAAGCCGGACGCAGCGACGCCGAGUGAGUGAUGAAGGCCUUCGGGUUGUAAAGCUCUGUGGGGAGAGACGAAUAAGUGCGGGCUAAUACUCCGCAUGAUGACGGUAUCUCCUUAGCAAGCACCGGCUAACUCUGUGCCAGCCGCCGCCGUAACAC